rnacentral:rRNA from 1 species
UACGGAGGAUGCGAGCGUUAUCCGGAUUUAUUGGAUUUAAAGGGUGCGUAGGCGGACUGUCAAGUCAGCGGUAAAAUUGAGAGGCUCAACCUCUUCCCGCCGUUGAAACUGGUGGUCUUGAGUGGAUGAGAAGUACGCGGAAUGCGUGGUGUAGCGGUGAAAUGCAUAGAUAUCACGCAGAACUCCGAUUGCGAAGGCAGCGUACCGGCAUCCAACUGACGCUGAGGCACGAAAGCGUGGGGAUCAAACAGG